UACGUAGGGCGCAAGCGUUAUCCGGAAUUAUUGGGCGUAAAGAGCUCGUAGGCGGUUUGUCGCGUCUGCCGUGAAAGUCCGGGGCUCAACUCCGGAUCUGCGGUGGGUACGGGCAGACUAGAGUGAUGUAGGGGAGACUGGAAUUCCUGGUGUAGCGGUGAAAUGCGCAGAUAUCAGGAGGAACACCGAUGGCGAAGGCAGGUCUCUGGGCAUUAACUGACGCUGAGGAGCGAAAGCAUGGGGAUCAAACAGG
rnacentral:rRNA from 1 species